rnacentral:misc_RNA from 1 species
CCAUGCACACUAUUAUGCCAUAGGUAAGAAAUUUUUUAAUCUUAUUAAUUAAUUACUUAGAAGUAUUGUCUUCUUUUUUCUUCUUCUUCUGAAAAUAUUAACGUUGGCAACAUGAUAACUUGUUACACUAACCAAAUCCAAGCCUAAUAACUGGCAAAUUUUGAUCUAAUGCCUAAAAAAAUUGUAUAUUGACAAAGGAGAGAAGGUCAACGAAAAGAAUUUGAGUGAAAUACUUAUUCAUGUUUAUUCAUUUUUUAGUACAAACAUUUAUAUAAAUAGAAGUUUAAACUAUAGGAUAAAGUUAAAGAACCUAAUAAGAAGCAAUGUUAAUAUUAUACACGUAAACUGUAAUGUCGAACCAGUAGGUUUAGGCGAGUUUAUUGGGCUAUAUACUGGUGAUAGGAAGAAAGUAGAUGUACAUCUAUGGGAUUAAAGUCAACAAAUUUUGACUUCAAUUUAUUAAUUCAAUUCGAAUUGUCUGACUCAAAGUGAUUCAUCAUCUAUUUCAACUCACACACAAUUGAAAAUGAUAAACUCGAAUGAUCUAUAAAAUUAAGGGUUCAAUUGAAGGCCAAUUUAAUGACUUGAAUAAUUCAAUCUGAACCUCGUAUAUUUGAGUUAACUUGAGUAACCUAAAAUUUAUCUGAAAAUUAAAUUGAUAAAUUUCUUUUUUCUUAUAAAAAAUAAUAUUUUACUCAGAAACUAUCCGCUACAUGCAAAUUGACCCAAAUUUAAUUUGGGAUCCUUUUGGUAUGGAGACCUAAUAAUUAACUUGAAUCAAUUUAUAACAAGAAAAGACAUAGUCCAAACCCACUCGAGAAAAGAUGAGACCCAAAUGACCUACAACCUAAAAUAAUUUAAACUUAAAUUACCGAAAUCCAAACCCAAAUGACCCAAACCCAUUUGCCACCUCUAACAUGGAAUGGAUAUCUUGUAUGGGUAAAGGGACAGGAAUUGAAUUGUCAUUUUGUUUCUUAAUUAUGCAGUCACAACUCAAAACUUUUGAGCGUGAAGAUAAGAAAAAAAUUUAUAACCUUUUUACUAUAUGGUUAACUAAUAAAAAUCCCAUGGAGAUGCAUGAUAACCAAACUUAUGUUUAGUGUGAACAAUAUGUACAAAACAUAAACAACUAAAGGCAUGGAGGUGCUGAAGAAUAGGUAGCUCGUUGAAAAUAAUUCAAAAGGUGUCUUAUAGUUGAGCACUUUGGUGGGUGUUCUAUUAAUAAGAGUAGUAAGAAUGCAUUCGCCCUCAACAUUUAAGGUCCAAAUUAGCUUGAAAACAAAGUGUCCUAGUCAUAUUUAACAAAUGCAUUUGUUUGUGCUUGAUAACAUCAUUUUGUUAAGGUGUAUAGAUGCAACUAUGUUGGAGAAUAACUCUAAGAGAAUGAAAGAACUAAGUGAUAUAAUGGUUGAAAAAUAAAGUUCCAUUAUCACUCCUAACUCUGCAAAUGGUGGUAUUGAAUUGUGUUUGGGCCACAGCAAAAUAAUAUUAAAUAUACCCAACAAGCUUUGUUCAGUUAGUGACUAUGGAAGUUCCGUUCCUUAUCAAUAAGGGUUUGACUCCAUUAGGGAACAACUCAAAAUUAUUUAUCCUGAAUGCACCAUGCUGAUGUAGAAGAGUGCACCCUUAAUGUUGCCUAGGGAGGGGACUUAAUCUCGAUACAUGAAAACUAGCUCAAGAAAUACAAUAUAUAUAUAAAAUUAAUUUUGAAUAUAAGUAUAAAAUCAAGAAUUUGAUUGUAACAAAAAAAUCACUAUAUGAAAAAUUAUCUCUAAUAGUUAAAAAGAAAUUUUUAUUAUUCAAACUUGAGAUCAUAUAUAGUCCCCCAAACAACAUGAAUAAAAUCAAAGCAUUCAUUUAUGGAGAUAAAGCUACAUGUUAGGAAAUAGGGGUAUAAAUGAACAAAGCUGCUCGUGAGCUAUUUGAAGUUCGGCUCGAUAAAAGCUCAGCU